rnacentral:rRNA from 1 species
UGGGGAAUAUUGCACAAUGGAGGGAACUCUGAUGCAGCGACGCCGCGUGAGUGAUGAAGGAAUUCGUUUCGUAAAACUCUGUUCUAUGGGAAGAAAAGGACUGUACCAUAGGAGAAAGCUCCGGCUAAAUACGUGCCAGCAGCCGCGGUAAUACGUAUGGAGCGAGCGUUGUCCGGAAUUAUUGGGCGUAAAGGGUGCGCAGGCGGCUUUACAAGUUGGAUGUGAAAUAUUGUGGCUCAACCACAAACGUGCAUCCAAAACUGCAAAGCUUGAGUUAAGGAGGGGUAAGUGAAAUUCCUGGUGUAGCGGUAGAAUGCGUAGAUAUCAGGAGGAAUACCGGUGGCGAAGGCGACUUACUGGACUUAAACUGACGCUCAGGCACAAAAGCGUGGGGAGCAAACAGG